ACCCGCUGAAUUUAAGCAUAUCAAUAAGCGGAGGAAAAGAAACCAACAGGGAUUGCCUUAGUAACGGCGAGUGAAGCGGCAAAAGCUCAAAUUUGAAAUCGGCCACCAGGUCGAGUUGUAAUUUGUAGAUUGUAUCUUGAGAGCGGAUUAAAGUCUGUUGGAACACAGCGCCUUAGAGGGUGACAGCCCCGUAAAAUCUAUUCUCAUUGUAAGAUACUUUCGAAGAGUCGAGUUGUUUGGGAAUGCAGCUCUAAGUGGGAGGUAAAUUCCUUCUAAAGCUAAAUAUUGACGAGAGACCGAUAGCGAACAAGUACUGUGAAGGAAAGAUGAAAAGCACUUUGAAAAGAGAGUGAAAAAGUACGUGAAACUGUUAAAAGGGAAGGGUAUUGAAUCAGACUUGGUGCUGUUGUUCGACUGUGUUUCGGCAUAGUGUACUCAGCAGUACUAGGCCAAGGUGGGGUGUUUGGGAGUGAAAAAGAAGUAGGAACGUAACUCUUCGGAGUGUUAUAGCCUACUUUCAUAGCUCCUCAGGCGCCUCAGGACUGCGCUUCGGCAAGGACCUUGGCAUAAUGACUCUAUACCGCCCGUCUUGAAACACGGACCAAGGAG
rnacentral:rRNA from 1 species